GAUGAAGAACGCAGCGAAAUGCGAUACUUGGUGUGAAUUGCAGAAUCCCGUGAACCAUCGAGUCUUUGAACGCAAGUUGCGCCUCAAGCCAUUAGGUUGAGGGCACGUCUGCCUGGGCGUCACAUAUCGUUGCCUGAUGCCAGUUUCCUCGUGAUGGGUGACUGUGCAGGGCGAAUGAUGGCUUCCCGUGAGCAUUGUUGCCUCAUGGUUGGUUGAAAAUUGAGUCCUUGGUAGGGAGCGCCGUGAUAGAUGGUGGUUAAGUGACGAACGAGACCCAAUCAUGUGAGACCCCUACCGAAUUUGGCCUUCAUGACCCACAUGCGUCUUUGGAACGCUCAUGACGAGACCUCAGGUCAGGCGGGGCUACCCGCUGAGUUUAAGCAUAUCAAUAAGCGGAGGA
rnacentral:misc_RNA from 1 species